rnacentral:rRNA from 1 species
UACGAAGGGGUGCGCGUUGCCGUGAAUCACUGGGCGUAAAGGGUGCGUAGGCGGGUCUUUAAGUCAGAGGUGAAAUCCCUGGAGCUCAACUCCCAGAACUGCCUUUGAUACUGAGGAUCUUGAGUAUGGGAGAGGUGAGUGGAACUGCGAGUGUAGAGGUGAAAUUCGUAGAUAUUCGCAAGAACACCAGUGGCGAAGGCGCUCACUGGCCCAUUACUGACGCUGAGGCACGAAAGCGUGGGGAGCAAACAGG